rnacentral:rRNA from 1 species
UACAGAGGUCCCAAGCGUUGUUCGGAUUCAUUGGGCGUAAAGGGUGCGUAGGCGGCGCGGUAAGUCGGGUGUGAAAUCUCGGGGCUUAACUCCGAAACUGCAUUCGAUACUGCCGUGCUUGAGGACUGGAGAGGAGACUGGAAUUUACGGUGUAGCGGUGAAAUGCGUAGAUAUCGUAAGGAAGACCAGUGGCGAAGGCGAGUCUCUGGACAGUUACCGACGCUGAGGCACGAAGGUCAGGGGAGCAAACGGG